rnacentral:rRNA from 1 species
AUUGAACGCUGGCGGCAUGCUUUACACAUGCAAGUCGAACGGCAGCGCGGGUUUCGGCCUGGCGGCGAGUGGCGAACGGGUGAGUAAUGCAUCGGAACGUGUCCUGUAGAGGGGGAUAGCCCGGCGAAAGCCGGAUUAAUACCGCAUACGAUCUACGGAUGAAAGCGGGGGACCUUCGGGCCUCGCGCUAUAGGGGCGGCCGAUGUCGGAUUAGCUAGUUGGUGGGGUAAAGGCCUACCAAGGCGACGAUCCGUAGCUGGUCUGAGAGGACGACCAGCCACACUGGGACUGAGACACGGCCCAGACUCCUACGGGAGGCAGC